rnacentral:rRNA from 1 species
CCUACGGGCGACAGCAGUGGGGAAUAUUGCACAAUGGGGGAAACCCUGAUGCAGCGACGCCGCGUGAGUGAGGAAGUAUUUCGGUAUGUAAAGCUCUAUCAGCAGGGAAGAAAAUGACGGUACCUGACUAAUAAGCCCCGGCUAACUACGUGCCAGCAGCCGCGGGAAUACGUAGGGGGCAAGCGUUAUCCGGAUAGAAUGGGUGUAAAGUGAUCGUAGACGGAAUUGCAAGUCUGAUGUGAAAAUCCGGGGCCCAACCCCGGAACUGCUUUGGAAACUGUAUAUCUAGAGUGUCAGAGAGGCAAGUGGAAUUCCUGGUGUAGCGGUGAAAUGCGUAGAUAUCAGGAGGAACACCAGAGGCGAAGGCGGCUUGCUGGACGAUGACUGACGUUGAGGCUCGAAAGCGUGGGGAGCAAACAGGAUUAGAUACCCGAGUAGUC